UGGGGAAUUUUGGACAAUGGGCGAAAGCCUGAUCCAGCAAUGCCGCGUGUGUGAAGAAGGCCUUCGGGUUGUAAAGCACUUUUGUCCGGAAAGAAAUCCUUGGCUCUAAUACAGUCGGGGGAUGACGGUACCGGAAGAAUAAGCACCGGCUAACUACGUGCCAGCAGCCGCGGUAAUACGUAGGGUGCAAGCGUUAAUCGGAAUUACUGGGCGUAAAGCGUGUGCAGGCGGUUUGCUAAGACCGAUGUGAAAUCCCCGGGCUCAACCUGGGAACUACAUUGGUGACUGGCAGGCUAGAGUAUGGCAGAGGGGGGUAGAAUUCCACGUGUAGCAGUGAAAUGCGUAGAGAUGUGGAGGAAUACCGAUGGCGAAGGCAGCCCCCUGGGCCAAUACUGACGCUCAUGCACGAAAGCGCGGGGGAGCAAACAGGAUUAGAUACCCUGGUAGUCCACGCCCUAAACGAUGUCAACUAGUUGUUGGGGAUUCAUUUCCUUAGUAACGUAGCUAACGCGUGAAGUUGACCGCCUGGGGAGUACGGUCGCAAGAUUAAAACUCAAAUGAAUUGACGGGGUCAUAGCUG
rnacentral:rRNA from 1 species